GGGGGCGUGGCGCAGCCUGGUUAGCGCGCAGCCCUGUCAAGGCUGAGGUCGCGGGUUCAAAUCCCGUCGCCCCCG
rnacentral:tRNA from 1 species